rnacentral:tRNA from 1 species
GGCGCCGUGGCUUAGUUGGUUAAAGCGCAUGUCUAGUAAAGAGGGAAUCGUGAGAUCGAAUCUCACCGGAGGCU